AGCAGCCGCGGUAAUUCCAGCUCCAAUAGCGUAUAUUAAAGUUGUUGCAGUUAAAAAGCUCGUAGUUGAAUUUCGGGGUUCUACCGUUGGUCAGGCUAUUGUUUGUACUGGCGGGUAGAAUUUCUACCUUCUGGGGAACUAUCAUGUUAUUAAUUUAGCGUGGUAGGAAACCAGGACCUUUACCUUGAAAAAAUUAGAGUGUUCAAAGCAGGCUUAUGUCUGAAUACAUUAGCAUGGAAUAAUAAAAUAGGACGGUGGUCCUGUUUUGUUGGUUUCUGAAUCACCGUAAUGAUUAAUAGGGAUAGUUGGGGGCAUUAGUAUUCAAUUGUCAGAGGUGAAAUUCUUGGAUUUAU
rnacentral:rRNA from 1 species